rnacentral:rRNA from 1 species
ACCUACGGGGGGCAGCAGUGGGGAAUAUUGGGCAAUGGGCGCAAGCCUGACCCAGCAAUGCCGCGUGAAGGAAGAAGGCCCUCGGGUUGUAAACUUCUUUUAUCAGGGACGAAGGAUGUGACGGUACCUGAUGAAUAAGCUCCGGCUAACUACGUGCCAGCAGCCGCGGUAAUACGUAGGGAGCAAGCGUUAUCCGGAUUUACUGGGUGUAAAGGGCGUGCAGCCGGGAAGACAAGUCAGAUGUGAAAUCCCGCGGCUCAACCGCGGAACUGCAUUUGAAACUGUUUUUCUUGAGUACCGGAGAG